UACACACCGCCCGUCACACCAUGGGAGUGGAAUCUGGCAGAAGUAGGUAGCCUAACCGCGAGGGGGGGCGCUUACCACGCUGGGUUUCAUGACUGGGGGUG
rnacentral:rRNA from 1 species